GUAUAACAUUCAAAAUACUAACAACAUACAAAGCCAUCCACAACUCUGCCCCAGGCUACAUCACCAAACUCAUCUCCAAAUAUCGCCCCACCCACCCUCUCUGCUCCUCCCAAGACUUCCUGCUCUCUAGCUCCCUAAUCCCCUCUGUCACACAA